rnacentral:piRNA from 1 species
UGCUUCAGGACAAUGGGGAACAUGGU